GGCGAGAGGGUGAGGGAUGUGCCCCACUCCAGUCCUCUAACUAAUGGGGGAGGGUGGCAGUAGUCGCUAGUCACCCCAUCCAGCCCAGUCCUCAGUGAGCGCCGGGCCCCUCCACCUUGCUCCAUGAGGCUGCAGAGAGGGUGAAGCUCUGCGACCAGGAUGCUCUCCAUACCUCGCAAUUCAGUUCCCCCUGCCCAGACGAAGGGGGUAGAGUGGGUGGCCCAGGGCUCUGAGGGACCAACAGCCCUAGGAAGGGUCACAGGGGUGAGGGGCGGGGCAAAGGUGAGAGGCGGGGCCAGGCCACAUAGAGUCUGUUUGGGGGCGGGGCAGAGACCCACCAGUCAGUGGGUGGAGGGGCAGAUGCUGAUGGGGAGCUGUGCUGAGCAGGCGUGAGGUGUAAAGCCCUGGGCAAGGGCCAGGACAAGGGAGUGGCAGGGGCACCACAGCGGAGUCGCUGGGCACAGGCUCCGCCAUCAGUGCUGCAGAACCCAUGGGAACCGGAAACUGUGAGAGCUCCCAGGCCUGCUUCAGUCAGGAACAGAACUCCAGGCCCGCACUGACAGACGAACGCAGGCCGCGGGGCAGAGCAGGCUGGCUCCAGACCAAGGAACACGGUCAAGGUGCAGAGCCCACAAAAUGGCUCACCUGUGUCACAGAAGCUGGGGGACAGGACUGGGCCUUGACCCCAGGAAGCCCCGGACCCACAUGCCUCACAGGCACUCCAAGGUCAUGGCCAACUUCAUGCCCAAAACUGCUUUCCAGUGGCUCCCAGACAAGACUGCAGGCAGGCAGUUCUCCUGGGCCUGCCCUGGGCCCCAACUGCUCUCCUCAGCCUCAGAAGUACCCCUGGAACACGAAACCUACCAUGCCCCUGCCCUGCCACCCAGACCCCAGGCCUGCAGGUGUGGGUUCAGGUGCCAGUAAGCACCCCCCAACCCUGCUCCCUGGGGAUGCCUGA
rnacentral:lncRNA from 1 species